CCUACGGGAGGCAGCAGUGAGGAAUAUUGGUCAAUGGGCGCGAGCCUGAACCAGCCAAGUAGCGUGAAGGAUGACUGCCCUACGGGUCGUAACCUUCUUUUAUAAAGGAAUAAAGUGAUGCACGUGUGCCUUUUUGUAUGUACUUUAUGAAUAAGGACCGGUUAACUCCGUGCCAGCACCCGCGGUAAUACGGAGGAUCCGAGCGUUAUCCGGUUUUUUUGGGUUUAAAGGGGGCGUAGAUGGGUUGUUAAGUCAGUUGUGAAAGUUUGCGGCUCAACCGUAAAAGUGCAAUUGAUACUGGCAGGCUUGAGUGCAGAUGAGGUAGGCGGAAUUCGUGGUGUAGCGGUGAAAUGCUUAGAUAUCACGAAGAACUCCGAUUGCGAAGGCAGCUUACGAAACUGCCACUGACAUUGAUGCUCGAAAGUGUGGGUAUCAAACAGGAUUAGAUACCCUUGUAGUC
rnacentral:rRNA from 1 species